rnacentral:rRNA from 1 species
ACGGGAGGCAGCAGUGGGGAAUAUUGCACAAUGGGCGCAAGCCUGAUGCAGCAACGCCGCGUGAACGAAGAAGGCUCUUGGGUCGUAAAGUUCUGUUCUGAGGGAAGAAAACAAUGACGGUACCUCAGGAGAAAGCCCCGGCUAACUACGUGCCAGCAGCCGCGGUAAUACGUAGGGAGCAAGCGUUAUCCGGAAUUACUGGGUGUAAAGGGAGUGUAGGCGGGACUGUAAGUCAGAUGUGAAAUAUGCCGGCUCAACUGGCAGACUGCAUUUGAAACUGCGGUUCUUGAGUGAAGUAGAGGUAAGCGGAAUUCCUAGUGUAGCGGUGAAAUGCGUAGAUAUUAGGAGGAACAUCAGUGGCGAAGGCGGCUUACUGGGCUUUAACUGACGCUGAGGCUCGAAAGCGUGGGGAGCAAACAGGAUUAGAUACCCUGGUA